ACGGGUGAGUAACACGUAGGUAACCUGCCUAUGAGACUGGGAUAACUAUCGGAAACGAUAGCUAAGACCGGAUAACUGGUUUUCUCGCAUGAGAGAAUCAUGAAACACGGAGCAAUCUGUGGCUUAUAGAUGGGCCUGCGGCGCAUUAGCUAGUUGGUAGGGUAAUGGCCUACCAAGGCGACGAUGCGUAGCCGACCUGAGAGGGUGACCGGCCACACUGGGACUGAGACACGGCCCAGACUCCUACGGGAGGCAGCAGUAGGGAAUCUUCCGCAAUGGACGCAAGUCUGACGGAGCAACGCCGCGUGAGUGAUGAAGGUUUUCGGAUCGUAAAGCUCUGUUGCCCUAGACGAACAGCAUGAGGAGUAACUGCCUUGUGUGUGACGGUAUAGGAGAAGAAAGCCCCGGCUAACUACGUGCCAGCAGCCGCGGUAAUACGUAGGGGGCAAGCGUUGUCCGGAAUUAUUGGGCGUAAAGCGCGCGCAGGCGGUCAAUUAAGUUGGGUGUUUAAGCCCGGGGCUCAACCCCGGUUCGCAUCCAAAACUGGUUGACUUGAGUGUAGGAGAGGAAAGUGGAAUUCCACGUGUAGC
rnacentral:rRNA from 1 species